GAUGAACGCUAGCUACAGGCUUAACACAUGCAAGUCGAGGGGAAACGGCAUUUAGUGCUUGCACUGAAUGGACGUCGACCGGCGCACGGGUGAGUAACGCGUAUCCAACCUUCCCAUUACUGUGGGAUAACCUGCCGAAAGGCAGACUAAUACCUCAUAGUCUUCGAUGACGGCAUCAGAUUUGAAGUAAAGAUUUAUCGGUAAUGGAUGGGGAUGCGUCUGAUUAGCUUGUUGGCGGGGUAACGGCCCACCAAGGCUACGAUCAGUAGGGGUUCUGAGAGGAAGGUCCCCCACAUUGGAACUGAGACACGGUCCAAACUCCUACGGGAGGCAGCAGUGAGGAAUAUUGGUCAAUGGACGUAAGUCUGAACCAGCCAAGUAGCGUGCAGGAUGACGGCCCUAUGGGUUGUAAACUGCUUUUGUAUGGGAAUAAAGUCAAUCACGUGUGAUUGUUUGCAGGUACCAUACGAAUAAGGACCGGCUAAUUCCGUGCCAGCAGCCGCGGUAAUACGGAAGGUUCGGGCGUUAUCCGGAUUUAUUGGGUUUAAAGGGAGCGUAGGCCGGAGAUUAAGUGUGUUGUGAAAUGUAGACGCUCAACGUCUGACUUGCAGCGCGUACUGGUUUCCUUGAGUACGCACAACGUUGGCGGAAUUCGUCGUGUAGCGGUGAAAUGCUUAGAUAUGACGAAGAACUCCGAUUGCGAAGGCAGCUGACGGGAGCGCAACUGACGCUGAAAGCUCGAAGGUGCGGGUAUCGAACAGG
rnacentral:rRNA from 1 species